GAGGAUGCCGUAAAUGUCAUUGU
rnacentral:siRNA from 1 species